GAGGCUCAAACCCUCUUAUUUCUA
rnacentral:tRNA from 1 species